rnacentral:rRNA from 1 species
AGCUAUGGCCAUGCCACCCUGAACGUGCCCGAUCUCGUCUGAUCUCGGAAGCUAAGCAGGGUCAGGCCUGGUUAGUACUUGGAUGGGAGACCACCUAGGAAGACCAGGUGCCAUAGGCA